UAAAGAAUAUUAAAAAGCACAUCAAUAUAACUUUUUGCUAAUAACUUUUUUUUCUGUACAGGUAUCCCAUUUUAGUGUUGUAGCUGGGAGAGGGGUACAUGAAGGAGAAAUGGCUACUAGUAUAUGUAAGAAGAUUUUCUCUUCUGAGGUUGCAUUACAACUGAAUUGGACAGGGACAGAGAUAAAAAAAGGAAUCAAGUCACUAAAGUGUGAUGCAUGUGGCAAACAAUAUAAAAGAAAUUUUUCGAGAUCAAAAGUCACAGGCUCCAUAAGUACGUGGCUUCGAAGUAAUUCAAAGAGGAGAGCCAUAAAUAAUGUUGAUUUGCCAAGAUAAUAAAGAUUUUUCAAAGGUUGAUUACCUCCCUUAUAGGUGACAAGAGGUAACAACGAAAGCAGCUAGGACUAUAUACACGAGUGGUUAUAACCAAGAUGGGUCGAUAUUCGCACGGCUAUCCGUAAAUGCAGCGCAGAAGCAUUUUAUUUUA